rnacentral:rRNA from 1 species
AGAGUUUGAUCCUGGCUCAGAUUGAACGCUGGCGGCGUGCCUAACACAUGCAAGUCGAGCGGUAACAGGUGUAGCAAUACAUGCUGACGAGCGGCGGACGGGUGAGCAAUAUUUGGGAAUCUGCCUAUUAGUGGGGGACAACCCGGGGAAACUCGGGCUAAUACCGCAUACGCACUACGGUGGAAAGCCGGGGACCGCAAGGCCUGGCGCUAAUAGAUGAGCCCAAAUCGGAUUAGCUAGUUGGUGAGGUAACGGCUCACCAAGGCGACGAUCCGUAGCUGGUCUGAGAGGACGACCAGCCACACCGGAACUGAGACACGGUCCGGACUCCUACGGGAGGCAGCAGUGGGGAAUAUUGGACAAUGGGCGAAAGCCUGAUCCAGCGACGCCGCGUGGGUGAAGAAGGCCUGCGGGUUGUAAAGCCCUUUCGGUGGGGAUAAAAAGCCUUGGUUUAACACACCAGGGGUCUUGAUCUAACCCAAGAAAGAAGCACCGGCUANCUCUGUGCCAGCAGCCGCGGUAAUACAGAGGGUGCGAGCGUUAAUCGGAAUUACUGGGCGUAAAGCGCACGUAGGUGGCUUGGCAAGUCGAGUGUGAAAUCCCCGGGCUUAACCUGGGAACUGCAUUCGANACUGCUUUGCUANAGUAUGGGAGAGGGAAGUGGGANUUCCGGUGUAGCGGUGAAAUGCGUA